rnacentral:rRNA from 1 species
UACCAGCACCCCGAGUGGUCGGGACGAUUAUUGGGCCUAAAGCAUCCGUAGCCGGUUCUGCAAGUCCCCCGUUAAAUCCAGUUGCUCAACAGAUGGGCCGCGGAGGAUACUACAGAGCUAGGAGGCAGGAGAGGCAAGCGGUACUCAGUGGGUAGGGGUAAAAUCCGUUGAUCCAUUGAAGACCACCAGUGGCGAAGGCGGCUUGCCAGAAUGCGCUCGACGGUGAGGGAUGAAAGCUGGGGGAGCAAACCGG